CGUGAAUCUGAUUAGCCUGCGGCGGCAGCAAAUGAUGGGCCAUUUUUUUCUCCCAGCCACCAGUGCUCCCAGCCUGCUUCCGUGUGCUUUGAGUCUCCACAGACCCCACAGCCAAGUGAAGAAGAUCUUUGCAUGAACACGACCUUUCAGCUGGUGAAUCAGAUGACCAGAAAAAUUCCCCACAUCAGUUUUCUUUAUGGAGUGACCUACACACCAAGAAGAGCCGCUCAGCUCUCAAAACUGCUGUCAUGUAGAUACCUACGUGGAUAAACAAGUAAUGUUUCCACAAAACACUGCAGGUUAGGGCCUCUGCUCAUGGCAGGAUAGAGAAGGCAAAAUAAAGAGGGGGCUUUGGACUGUUGGUUUUGCGUCAUGUAAGCUUUUUUAGUGACCUUUAAUGGGGAGAGAGACUAGAUGCUGAGUUUAAUCACGUAAGACCAGCUCAAGACAAACGGCACAGUUUUGUUUCCUGUCUGGAAAGAAAAAAAAAAUUACUCAUGCACUAGCAGGAACUGAACGCUGAACACUCCUUUGGUGCUAGAUUUAUUGGAGGAUUUGACGACAAGAAUUUGCUUGUAGUUUUCCACCUUCCCUGUGCUAUUUUCUUAGCCAGUCAUUUUGAAUACUCCCCUUCCCCAUCUUUAUCCCCCAACCAUUCCUGUUCUUAAGCCAAAUAAAAAGAAAACAUCACUGAAAUAAAGACCCACGGUUCUGCUUUGACACACCAUGACCACAUUUUUAUACUAUUAUGAGGUAGGGUAUUUUUUUUUUUCUAUUUGUCAGUCUCUGUGGAUAAAAGACUCCAUCUUCCAUAAAGAAUCCCCACCAGAAAUCUUUCUAAGCCCUCAAUCAGAGAGACACUCUGCCAUCGUGCUGAGCAAAAGCUAAUCUAAUUAAGACAGGAUCUGCUAAAUUUAAUAGCCUGCUAUGAAUUUUUACAGACAUCUGGUAGCUGGAAGUUGGAACAGCUCUCACAUAUAAAAUUCACAUUGUCCAGAUAACCAAUAUCGGGGUCAAAUAUUUUCUUUCUUUGGGGAACUUACAUUGUUUUGGUAGGAACGCUAUUUUCAAAUCGUGAUAUCCUACAGGUAAAUGCACUGGAAAGAAGAUUGAGGAUUGAAACUUCAAAUCUCAGCUUUCCAUCUGCACAGUAAAGACAAAGAUGCUUCCAUUGUCCGGUUUUAUGGAGAAAUCUGAAAACGUACACACAGGGCUGGCUUCACGGGUGGCGCCCAGCGUUAGCAAGUCCUUGCCUGGUGCGAGGCGCUGCUCUCCUG
rnacentral:lncRNA from 1 species